CCUACGGGUUGCACCAGCGGGAAUAUUGGACAAUGGGCGAAAGUCUGAUCCAGCAAUGCCGCGUGUGUGAAGAAGGUCUUCAGAUUGUAAAGCACUUUUGACGGGGACGAUGAUGACGGUACCCGUAGAAGAAGCCCCGGCUAACUUCGUGCCAGCAGCCGCGGUAAUACGAAGGGGGCUAGCGUUGCUCGGAAUGACUGGGCGUAAAGGGCGCGUAGGCGGUUUAUGCAGUCAGAUGUGAAAUCCCCGGGCUUAACCUGGGAACUGCAUUUGAGACGCAUAGACUAGAGGUCGAGAGAGGGUUGUGGAAUUCCCAGUGUAGAGGUGAAAUUCGUAGAUAUUGGGAAGAACACCGGUGGCGAAGGCGGCAACCUGGCUCGAUACUGACGCUGAGGCGCGAAAGCGUGGGGAGCGAACAGGAUUAGAUACCCGGGUAGUC
rnacentral:rRNA from 1 species